GGCCCUAUGGCGCAACGGUAGCGCGUUCGACUCCAGAUCGAAAGGUUAUCCGUUCAAAUCGGGUUGGGGUCA
rfam:Neurospora tetrasperma FGSC 2509 unplaced genomic scaffold NETTE2scaffold_7, whole genome shotgun sequence.